rnacentral:misc_RNA from 1 species
UAGAUGUUCACGUAUCAUGACACGUAUCACGAGUCUUGACACUUUUGACAGUUUGACAUCUGCGAGCGUGUGCGAGUGCUCAGUACGCGUGAAAAUUGAUCGUAGUCAUAUUCGUGCGAGAGUUGCCUGCCGCCUGAGCCUAACAUGGGCGUUCCUUUUGUCGUCUGCAGUGUGCCAGCUGCAGGGCACCCGAAGGAAAAAUGAUCGCAAGUCGCGAGUGCUUGUAGCCGGAUGGUACUGUUAAGGCCGCCAGAAGUCGACGCGCGGACGAAGCCGCCGUUGGAGACACACGGAUAUUCAUUACUCAUGCUGACAAAUCUCAUUUACUGCAUCUCCGUUCGCUGUUCAGUGAGAGUGCCGUGAUAACAAAGGACACCUCUCGCACGUAUCGUACUCUGAUCUCUGAUGAUCGAAUGAAAAAGUCGCGGAGGAAGAGGUAGUGGUGCGAGGCUGCUUCGUUGCCUUUUCUCUUCACUGAAGCUUUAAGAUUUUAAGGAGGUCACUCUUAAAGUCGAUCGAGAAUCUCAUUGCCGAGCCGUAAGGUUAUGCCGAGUCGCGAGAAGAUAAAGGCAUCAAGCACUUGUUAUUUAUUAGUUAUUUGAUAUAAGGAGAAGGAGAGAGAAAAGGAGGAAAAAGCGCGUAAAAGAAAGAGGAGCUUUGUGGAUGAUGAGUGACAACGCGUUCGUUUGACAAGCUCUGAGUAACUAAAGUACAAGAUCCCUGUCAGCCGAAUCAGCUGAUCAGCUGAGAGGCUAUGAGAUUUAAUUAGGCCUUAGUGAAUAUGCAUAUUUAUUGUAAGUGUACACGAUAGAAGAUAUUUGUUAAGACGUGACUCUGUUGGCGUGAGAUAAUCGUGUGUGUGCAAUAAGUAGAUAAGAUUACUUUGCACAAAAAGUGCAAGAAGUGGCUGAAAAAUGUCGAAUAAUUCAACGGUGGUGGGUACGUCCAGGGGCGGUGGUAGUCUUCAGCAGAAUCGAAACUCGCAGAGAUCCACCCUCCUGAAAGUGGUGAUUCUUGGAGACGGUGGUGUUGGAAAGUCCUGUCUCAUGAACCGAUUCGUGUCGAAUCACUUUGACGAGCACAGUUUUCACACCAUCGGAGUGGAAUUCUUGAACAAGGAUAUCGAGAUCAACGGCGAGACGUACACGUUACAGAUAUGGGAUACCGCCGGGCAGGAGAGGUUUAAGACCCUCAGAACGCCGUUCUACAGAGGCUCGGAUAUCUGUCUCCUCACCUAUGCGGUAGACGAUAGGACGAGUUUUGAGAAUUUGAAAUUGUGGAAAUCUGAAUUUCUUAAGUUUGCGGACGUUCAAGAAGGCUCCACGUUUCCAUUUAUUGUUGUUGGCAAUAAGGUGGACGUUCCUGAAUCUGACAGACAAGUUUCUACGGAAGAAGCUCAGGCAUGGUGUUCAGAGAAUGGCAGUCCUCCGUUAGUCGAGACAUCGGCGAAAGAUACUACUAAUGUUGAAGCGGCAUUUGGGACAGCGGUCGAUGCAUGGGCACGGCAGGAGGCUAGAUUAGAACGGCCUUUAGUGGAAGAUACCGUCGAUCUUUCUAAGCAACAGUCUCUGCAUCGUUCGAGCUGUUGCAUGCCUGUGUCCGGUGCUGAAUCUACAUUUGCGACCAGCUAAUUGAAAUGGAUGAUAACGAGAAAACCCAUAUAGGAUCUUUAUGCGAUGCAAAGCGACAUUUCUCGAACAAUUAUUUAAAAGUUUCUUUAUGUUUGGGAGAAGUACACAACGUUUACUCUAUUUAUAGGAUCUAUAAUGGCAGUUUUAUACGAUAUAAGUGUCUAACAAAGUAAUUUGAAGAGAAUCUCUUGCCUGUCUACAAUACUUUCUUCAUUAUACGGCGAACCGUUUUUUUUCAUUGAGACUGGAAUUGCGUCGGUUGUACAAACGGGAGAUGUAUCGUUUGAAUUUUUUGACUCGAGACCAGUUAAGAUUCCCAAAGAGUAUAUGGACUACAUUUAUAGGAUAUAUUGUUAGCAAAUAACGAGUUGGCUUGCUUAUAUUUUUCUUUACAAAAUCUUAACGAAAUACUCUCGAGUGAAAGAUUGCGGAGAUUGCGUGUGAGACAAAUAAUGUAUUGUGAUUGAUAUUUCCAGAAUAGAACUCUAAGAUAUAAUAAGAUCAAGUUGAACGUCCUAUUCUAUCACGCUUUAUGCAGCUCUUGAGCUACAGCCGACAGUAUUUUAAGUGUUUCACACUCACCACUUUGGCUUGUGAUAAAAUGAUAAUGAUGAAUAUUGUGAAUUGCUUUAUCAUAUUGAAGGUGUAGGCGUAAAUUGUAAUUUUAGCUUCGUAAAUCUAAAUUUGCCUUGUCCUCGCGACGCACGUCCAAGAGCAGUAAAGCGACGAGACUCUCACUCAAGCAAAAUCUCUUAUUGCGGAUACUCAUAUUUAUACAUGUGUGAAUUUAACGCUUGUACAAAGUGCGAUAUAAGUGCUUUCCUGCUCGUGGAAACAUUUCGUAUUCAGUGUCUAACGAUUUUCCUACACUAACACUAACAUAACAUUACGAAAGUGAAGCUUUUUGUACGAUUGUCAACGCGUUUCUACAGCUGCGUAUCUUUUUUGUCCAAAAGAUACUCGAUUCUCUAGAGAUGCCUCAUACACAGCACAAUGGAAAAAAUAUACAUAUAUAGUGUCGUUGCACUUAAACGAAGAAACAGUUUCCAACGACGAUGCUCGAAUCGAUUGUCUAUGAAACAUGCAUGCUGGUGCUUUUUAUAUAUAGCUAAAUGUGAAAUAUACAAAUCUAUAGUGAAAUAUAGAAUAAUAACGCGCGUUAGUUAAGGUGUUAAGUGCAUAAGUUAAACUGAUCAUAUCAAGGUGACGAUCUCACCUCAGAAUUACCACACACACACACGCGGAUAUCAUUUUUACAAAUAAUAAGUUUCUGCGCGAGAUCUGUUAUUUUUAAAAAGCUAUCUUUGCAUACACACACACACACACAAUCUUGUUCGUGAAGAAAACGCGCAUACCGAUUAUUUAUUAUUUUUACACACUCAGUAGGGACAUGGCUAUUUCUCGUAUAUGACUUAUGUAUAAUGUGUGUAUGCCUUAAGAUUUUAUAAUCCCGGGAAUCGAUUUUGCAAGAGGAGAAAUAAACUUAUACUGUGCUUGUUUAAAAAAAACA